AAAAUCCGUCGACUUGAAAAA
rnacentral:tRNA from 1 species